rnacentral:rRNA from 1 species
UUUAAUUCGAAGCAACGCGAAGAACCUUACCAAAUCUUGACAUCCUUUGACCGCUCCAGAGAUAGAGUCUUCCCCUUCGGGGGACAAAGUGACAGGUGGUGCAUGGUUGUCGUCAGCUCGUGUCGUGAGAUGUUGGGUUAAGUCCCGCAACGAGCGCAACCCUUAAGCUUAGUUGCCAUCAUUAAGUUGGGCACUCUAAGUUGACUGCCGGUGACAAACCGGAGGAAGGUGGGGAUGACGUCAAAUCAUCAUGCCCCUUAUGAUUUGGGCUACACACGUGCUACAAUGGACAAUACAAAGGGCAGCUAAACCGCGAGGUCAAGCAAAUCCCAUAAAGUUGUUCUCAGUUCGGAUUGUAGUCUGCAACUCGACUACAUGAAGCUGGAAUCGCUAGUAAUCGUAGAUCAGCAUGCUA